GGAAUUUUGCACAAUGAGCGAAAGCUUGAUGCAGCGACGCCGCGUGCGGGAUGAAGGCCUUCGGGGUGUAAACCGCUUUCAGGAGGGACGAAGCGAAAGUGACGGUACCUCCAGAAGAAGCCCCGGCCAACUACGUGCCAGCAGCCGCGGUCAUACGUAGGGGGCGAACGUUGUCCGGAUUUAUUGGGCGUAAAGAGCUCGUAGGCGGCCCAGCAGGUCGGACGUGAAAACCCGGGGCUCAACCCCGGGACGCCGGUCGAAACUGCUGUGGCUAGGGUCCGGUAGAGGAGAGUGGAAUUCCCGGUGUAGCGGUGAAAUGCGCAGAUAUCGGGAGGAACACCAGUAGCGAAGGCGGCUCUCUGGGCCGGUACCGACGCUGAGGAGCGAAAGCUAGGGGAGCAAAC
rnacentral:rRNA from 1 species